rnacentral:rRNA from 1 species
AAUACGUAGGGUGCGAGCGUUGUCCGGAAUUAUUGGGCGUAAAGGGCUCGUAGGCGGUUUGUCACGUCGGGAGUGAAAACUCGGGGCUUAACCCCGAGCCUGCUUCCGAUACGGGCUGACUAGAGGUAUGCAGGGGAGAACGGAAUUCCUGGUGUAGCGGUGAAAUGCGCAGAUAUCAGGAGGAACACCGGUGGCGAAGGCGGUUCUCUGGGCAUUACCUGACGCUGAGGAGCGAAAGUGUGGGGAGCGAACAGGA